AUGCAUCUAUUCAUAUUCCAAUGGAGACAUCACGAAUUUCUCAGAGAGAUAUGCGUCUCUAUCGCAACACACACAUACUACUCCACGUACUAGCUUUUUUUUUUCUAUCUACCUGGGAGAAGGCAUGCAUCUUUUGGUCAUUCGUUCCGAUCAGCCGCACGGCUGGGCGUCGCUCUCGCAUGCUCUCGUAGUACCUAAAAGGGCAGCGAUCAUGGCCUCUUCUUUUCUCCUCCACCAAGUUUUAUUUUCCCUGUGCCUAGG
rnacentral:lncRNA from 1 species